rnacentral:tRNA from 1 species
GAGCGUGUAGCUCAGCUGGUAGAGCACUUGACUUUUAAUCAAGUGGUCCUGGGUUCGAAUCCCAGCACGCUCA